GUCAUUUAUGCCUUUAUCCAGAUACUGUCCAUCUAGAGAGGGAUAGACAGCCCCGACAACACCAGCUGGCUCCCCAUGUACUCCACUCCUGUAAUGUAGACGCAAGGAGUCAGGAAGCAGGUGCAGUUAGUGAGUUUAAUGAUAAUGAACAUGGAACGAUACAAAACAUGGAAACACAAACAAUACUACCUGAAGACUGACAAAACAGAGUGCAGGAUAAAUGUUAAGUAAUGAAGGUAAUAAUGAGGUCCAGGUGUGACUGAUGAUAGGGUACAGGUGUGCAUAAAGAUGGAUUGCUAGGACCGGUGGUUAGUAGAUCGGUGACGUCUAGCACCGGAGAGGGAGAGCGGGGGUAGACGUAACAACACCAGGAAAUAUAUGUCUACCAUCAAGCAUUAUUUUCUGGAAAAAAUAACAACACAUUAUAGACUCCCCUGCACAACCAUUUGUUGAAAUAUAUCAGCGCAAUGUUGAUGGGACACCUUUCACGUUGAUUAUAACCCACAGACCCCCAAGAUGAGUAUUAACCAUGCGCUAUCGCUCACAUAGGAUAAUGAAUUGUCUAAAGCCAAAUCUUUCUCUUAGUUACUCUUUCUCAUCAAUAUACAUUUUUUUGUAGUAGACACACUAGGAUUAUGAUUAUGGGCUAGAAUUUGGAUAGAUAUCUAGCCAGCUUGCCUAACAAUAGAACAUAAGUUAACCAAAUCCUCUAGCUACUUUAGUUAGUUAGCUAGCUAGCUAAGUUCAGGUUAACUGGGCAAGCCACCCCAUCAGCUUUGGGGGUAUAAAGCUAUAUCACAAUUGCUUGCACAGAGAGCAACUAUGGUAGCUUAACAACAAUACAUGGAUGUAGCUAUUAUUGUGUUUCACAGAAUUAGCUAUUCAAGUUAGCUAGUUAGAGUCGAGAGCUAGCUAGUUAGCUACUACCGAUGUUACAGCAACCCACAAUCAGAUGUAUUUUCCUGUUGCAAAAAGUUAGCUUUUUGGGUGGCAUAGACAGCUUUUAAAAGACUAGACAGUUUUUGCUAGGCCUUCAGACAGUGAGUGGAAUACAGUUAGAUUGAUAGCUAGCUUGCUUGGUUGCAGAUUAGUUAGACUAAUAACACAUUCAUGUUACCUAAAGUGAAAUGCAGCCAGACCUUCAUAGCAGUCCUGUCUCAAUGAACCCCAACAACACAACACUCAACCCUUAGCUACCCCUAGUAGCUAAAGCUAGAUAGCUAGCUAAAUUUCUUCUUGUUGGUUUAGCUUUCUGGCAGACUAAACACUUUGUGGCACCAAUUUAGAGGUUCUGAGUUGGAAUCCAUGCCACUACAAGUAUGGUGAGAAAUGCAUACAUUCUUUGGUGUUAAGAUGGUGUCUUCCCUAAGAAUGAGAUGGAGAAGCGGGGUCUAAACCCUUGGAUAGUGGUUUAGUUGUUGUUUUUUUUUACUCAGUCAUUUGUCCAGGGUCAGGAGGCCAUAGAUGUCCCCGUCUAUUUCAUGCCGCUCCGCAGCACCUGAUUGGCUGCGAUAAGCAUGACACUGAUGAUGAAAGCAAUGGCGAAAGCACAUAUCAGGCUCUUGCGUACACACGUCUGCUUGACUUGCUGCGUUGGACUAGCUGCUUGAUAAGGAAGGCCCCUGGCUUCUCUAUAUGGCUCUCCUCGGUCUUGAUGAUGUUCUCGAUGUCCUUCAUGGUCAGGUGGUCGCAGAACGUACGCACGCACAGGCAAACAGGAACUGUUGAUUUAUGUUUUUCACCCCAAUGGAUAUGGUUACGAUUUGGGAAUGGACCUGAGCUCUAGGACCAUGCCCCAGAACUACCAGACAUGAUGACUCCUUGCUGUCCCCAGUCCAUCUGACCAUGCUGCUGCUCCAGUUUCAACUGUUCUGCCUUAUUAUUAUACGAACAUGCUGGUCAUUUAUGAACAUUUGAACAUCUUGGUCAUGUUCUGUUAUAAUCUCCACCCGGCACAGCCAGAAGAGGACUGGCCACCCCACAUAGCCUGGUUCCUCUCUAGGUUUCUUCCUAGGUUUUGGCCUUUCUAGGGAGUUUUUCCUAGCCACCGUGCUUCUACACCUGCAUUGCUUGCUGUUUGGGGUUUUAGGCUGGGUUUCUGUACAGCACUUUGAGAUAUCAGCUGAUGUACGAAGGGCUAUAUAAAUACAUUUGAUUUGAUUUGAUUUGAAAAUAAGCCUCUUUAACGGGGACACAUAACCAUUCACCCCCAGAUCAUUCCCCUACGAAAUGUUUUUGCAUUGCAACUGCAGUUAGAGUACAGUAAAACUGCAUUUAUUCUGCAAUUACUGUGUACAAAAUAUCAAAGUCGAAUGCAGUUACUGCAUUUUUGUAAGGGAUGGGCCUGCAUACACAAGCUUUAACUAAGUCACCAAGGCCCUUCAUAUCUCCCAAGUAGCCAACGACAUCAAAACAGCUGGAUGCCGAGGUUUGAUAUCCUUCAACAUUUUGACAAAUUGUAUCAAGAACAUAGCACAUGCCACAUACUGUAAAGUAACACCUCUCAGUCUAUUCCCAUGUCGGUUAUUUAUUUAUUUUACCUUUAUUUAACUAGGCAAGUCAGUUAAGAAAAAUUCUUAUUUUCAAUGACGGCCUAGGAACAGUGGGUUAACUGCCUGUUCAGGGGCAGAAUGACAGAUUUGUACCUUGUCAGCUUGGGGAUUUGAACGUGCAACCUUCCGGUUACUAGUCUAAUGCCCUAACCAUUAGGCUACCCGGUUAUGUAUGAGGGGAUGUUCUACUUUGUCUUACAGCAGCCUGACUUCCAUCAGAACCUUCAAAGAGACAGAUGAAGGUGAUAUGAAGCCUGGGGGAUUGGUGAUGAUACUAGGCUAGAAUCCAAAACAUCUCAGAUGAGGAACGAUGGCAACAGGCAUCAUAGUGAUCAGCUGGGAUCCACAGAUACAACAUGGACUGACAAUCAAAUGUGUGUGCCCACUAGUGAUACUGCAAUGUAAGCAUCAUCAAAGGGACAUACUAUCUAAAGUCUUCAACCACAUGUGACAGAUUGCACACCUGGGACCUAGAGACUCUGGAAAGCCAAGAGGCGACUUGAGAUGGAAUAUAAUAGCAAUCCAUAAAUCUACUGAACCCAAGAAAACACGUCAGUUUUGAAGUUGAGUUACUAUCUGAAAUGUCAUGUCAAAUAGCGCUUGUUCAUAGAGCUGGUCAUCAUUCAAAGACAGUGUUAUGAUUGUAGGUCUUAUGCAAUUUUCACUCAUCAAUAGUUGUGCAUUAAUAUACUUUAUUUAUGUGAAAUACCAUCCCACGACAGACAGACAUCUGGUGUGAUCAAUUAACAUAUGUCACAGGGGGCGGAAAAUAUACAGUAACAUGUUUUUGCAAGAUCCAGAAACAUUGAGUAUCAAAUUACAAUACAAUGAAUGGAACUAGAACAUUCAGUAGACUCAACAUUUAUACAUUACAACACGUUUUGUUUCACCUGUAAAAGAAAAUACAUUUUUGACUGGUUUCUAUUUCUGUACAGCUUUGCUUUGACAAUAAACUAUGUUUUGUUGACACUUUCUUUAAAAGUACAAUGCCAAAGUGUCUCAGAGCAUAAGGCAAAGUAACAGGUUGUCAAACAACCUUCUCCAGACCCUCGGUUUCAAAGGGCAACAUAUUAUCGUCUCAUUAGAAUAUGUAAAAAAUAAAGACAUUUAAUUAAGCAG
ensembl:lncRNA